rnacentral:rRNA from 1 species
GCCCGACUCCUACGGGAGGCAGCAGUGGGGAAUAUUGCACAAUGGGGGAAACCCUGAUGCAGCGACGCCGCGUGAAGGAAGAAGUAUUUCGGUAUGUAAACUUCUAUCAGCAGGGAAGAAAAUGACGGUACCUGACUAAGAAGCCCCGGCUAACUACGUGCCAGCAGCCGCGGUAAUACGUAGGGGGCAAGCGUUAUCCGGAUUUACUGGGUGUAAAGGGAGCGUAGACGGCAGUGCAAGUCUGGAGUGAAAAGCGGGGGCCCAACCCCCGGACUGCUCUGGAAACUGUAUAGCUGGAGUGCAGGAGAGGUAAGUGGAAUUCCUAGUGUAGCGGUGAAAUGCGUAGAUAUUAGGAGGAACACCAGUGGCGAAGGCGGCUUACUGGACUGUAACUGACGUUGAGGCUCGAAAGCGUGGGGAGCAAACAGGAUUAGAUACCCUGGUAA